rnacentral:rRNA from 1 species
UACGGAGGGGGCAAGCGUUGUCCGGACUUACUGGGCGUAAAGGGUGCGUAGGCGGCCUGCUGCGUCGGUGCUGAAAGCGCCCGGCUUAACCGGGCGAGGCGUGCCGAUACGAGCGGGCUGGAGCCUUGGCGAGGGUGGCGGAACUCCUGGUGUAGUGGUGAAAUGCGUAGAGAUCAGGAAGAACACCCGUGGCGAAAGCGGCCACCUGGCCAAGAGCUGACGCUGAGGCACGAGAGCGUGGGGAGCGAACAGG